UCAUUGUCUAGCUCAGUUUAGUUUAAAUAUUAUCUGUGCAAUCAAAUCGGCGAUAAUCGCUAGAAAUUAAGUGUACCCAACUGAGCAAGCCAGAGGCGACAGCAGCAAGGAACCAAAACUCCCUCUGUGACAGAAUGGAGAAAAAAAAAAAACCUUGGGAGAAACCAGGCUCAGUCCGGGGGCCAGUUCUCCUCUGACCAGACGAAACCCGCAGUUCAAAAGUAUAUAAGAAAUAUUUCUAUUUUAAUUUUGUUGCAAUUUCUAACAAUAGUAGUAUUAUGUAGUUAGGUAUUUUAUUAUAUUUUAGUUAUUUUGUUAUAUAUAUUUUUAGUUUUAUUUUAUUUGAUCGAGGUUUUCACUGGGGAUAUGUCUCUGGGGCUCAUCUGGGUGUCCUGGUCUCCGCUGACGAUCAGGGCUGUAGACAUCAUCUCUUGGUGCUGAUCCACCAUCUGAUCGGAUACGGACUGAGAAACAGAAUAGGAAAGAAACAGACAAAUAUUAGCGUAGAUGCCAUUCUUCUUACGAUGUAACGAGUACAUUGUGUGUUAUGGGGAGUGUUCCCGGUUCCGGUUGAUCUAAUUAAUGCAGCCUAACAAUCCUUUAACGGAUUUGAAUAAUAGAAGCGUAUUAGUGUGUUAUGUGUAAGCCAGGCUAAAGAGAUGGGUCUUUAAUCUAGAUUUAAACUGACAGAGUGUGUCUGCCUCCCGAACAGUGUUAGGUAGACUGUUCCAGAGUUUGGGUGCUAAAUAGGAAAAGGAUCUGCCGCCCGCAGUCGAUUUUGAUAUUCUAGGUAUUAUCAAACGGCCGGAGUUUUGAGAACGCAUUGGACGUGGAGGACUAUAAUGUGAUAAGAGCUCGCUCAAGUACUGAGGAGCUAAACCAUUCAGGGCUUUAUAAGUAAUUAACAAGAUUUUAAAAUAUAUCCGAUGUUUGAUAGGGAGCCAGUGCAGUGUUGACAGAACCGGGCUAAUAUGGUCAUAUUUCCUGGUUCUAGUAAGGACUCUAGCUGCUGCAUUUUGGACUAACUGUAGUUUGUUGAUCAAGCGUGCAGAACAACCACCCAAAUAAAGCAUUACAAUAGUCUUCCUAAACUAUAUUUUAAAGGUUUAAGAGCUAUAAGUGAUGCAAUACAAAAAACGAUGAGCUGACUAGGCUGUCUAAUAGGCGGAAAUUAGCCUAAUCUGCUCGCAAAUUCACCUUCGUGGCUCACGGGCUUCCUUCUGCACCGAAGCAUUACAGCUAUCGAUUUUUAACAAAACAGGCCUACUCAAAUGUAUCUAACCUAACUAUUUUCACCUCCAUAUUGUCUAAAAAACAGACAGAGUUAUCCAAAGAUAGGCUUACUUAGCGCCAGUAGACAGCCCUUUUUUCUCCCGAGGCUCCCGUAGAGUGAAGAAGAGGUGGAGUUACGAGACUUAUCAGACAGUUGAAGUGUCCAAUGGAGUUAAGAGAUUUGCUCUCAAGCUAUUUUCAACACUUUAGAUUUGUUAAUAAUUUGUAAAAAUAACAGACCCACGUGGGGACUGACCAAUAGCAUCGAUUUGUGAAAAAAUCUGAAAUUGACAAAAUUUGGACAAAGGAGGUUUCUGCCCGACAGCGACGAUAUACAGCACACAGUGUUUCUGUGACUGUCUAAAGUACUUGAAUUCACGAGUUCACACUUGCAUAUAAUAAAUAUAAUAAAGUUUAUGUGUAUUUGGCGUGCUGUCUGAGGGGAGGGCUCCAAGCUCGGAACUUUGGCCCAAACCCAGAGUAUAUAGGUUAGGACAGGAAUAACUGUAAGUGCGGAGAAGGGGUGGUGGAGGGAUGCCAGAAAACUGUCAAAGAACAGAGAUAAGGCUGCUAUGUAUAUAUACACACACCUCUUACCUUGUUAACUGGGUUGAUUACUGAUUGUGCUCCUCUCGUGUUAAUUAGGUUAAUUAUCUGAACGUGCUCCUCCCGAACUUUGUUAAUAAAACAUCAUUAUGAGGCAUGUAAUUGGCUGUUUGGUUGCUAAGCAUCUAGCCAUAAUAUUCUAACACUGCAUCGCUUCACACUGUACAUGUUUGGCACUGCAAUGUGGGGUUAACACCGCUAAAGCAGUGCCAACUCUGUUCUGGAGAAGGCUCUCAUAACCCUGGGUGAGACACCGUGACUACACCUGGGGCCUGUACCAUGAAGCCGGUUUAGCUGGCUAGCCAGGUAGGAGCUGCCACGGAAAAAGCUCUAUCUCCUCUACAUUUCAAGCACCAUCGAGGAACCAUCAGACACAGUUGAUCCUCGGACCAAAG